rnacentral:rRNA from 1 species
GACGAACGCUGGCGGCGUGCUUUAGACAUGCAAGUCGAACGAGACCUUCGGAUCUAGUGGCGAACGGCGGAGUAAUACAUAAACAACGUGCCCUGAAGACUGGGAUAUACGGUCGAAAGGCCGAGCAAUACCGGAUGUGGCCGAGACUAGGCAUCUAGACUCGAUUAAAUGGUUUUCGCUUCAGGAGCGGUUUAUGACUCAUCAGCUAGUUGGUAGGGUAAUGGCCUACCAAGGCUACGACGGGUAGGGGGUCUGAGAGGAUGAUCCCCCCGAGUGGGACUGAGACACGGCCCACACACCUACGGGUGGCAGCAGUUUGGAAUCUUGCCCAAUGGGGGGAAACCCUGAGGCAGCGACGCCGCGUGGAGGAUGAAGGAUUUAGGUCGUGUAAACUCCUUUUGCCAGGAAAGACUUAGGACGGUACCUGGCGAAUAAAGCUCCGGCUAACUACGUGCCAGCAGCCGCGGU